rnacentral:rRNA from 1 species
UACAGAGGUCUCAAGCGUUGUUCGGAUUCAUUGGGCGUAAAGAGCGCGUAGGCGGUCCGGUAAGUCGGUUGUGAAAACUGGGGGCUCAACCCUCAGAGGCCGACCGAUACUGCCGGGCUAGAGUCCGGAAGAGGCGAGUGGAAUUCCUGGUGUAGCGGUGAAAUGCGCAGAUAUCAGGAGGAACACCAAUGGCGAAGGCAGCUCGCUGGGACGGUACUGACGCUGAGGCGCGAAAGCGUGGGGAGCAAACAGG